AAUUGGAUUAAAAGAGAUAUAACUGUUGUUUGUUGUUGGGAUUUCUAGAUGACUGUUAUUGCAAGAAUCAUGUUGCCAAGGCUUUAAUUGUUACAUUUGAUUAUGCUAUUGACUUAAAAUGACAAUAGUUACAUCUUGCAAGAACCUAAGUUUCAAGACAGCAGAUGAGAGUUUGAGGAAACAUUUAGGUGAUAGUAUUGUGGAAAUCAUGCUCUGGCUUUCAAUCAUUAUUAAUUUUCUCUCAAUUUUUUAUUUCUUCUCUUUUUUCAAAUUCAGAUUUCCCACCUUUCUUCAUUUAUUUCAAAUGUAUUAAUAUACCUUCAUUCUUAUUAGUAUUAUUUUGAAGUUAUGUUCUUU
rnacentral:lncRNA from 1 species